UACAGAGGUCUCAAGCGUUGUUCGGAUUCAUUGGGCGUAAAGGGUGCGUAGGCGGCGAGGUAAGUCGGAUGUGAGAUCUCAGGGCUCAACCCUGAAACUGCAUUCGAUACUGCCUUGCUUGAGGACUCGAGAGGAGAUUGGAAUUCACGGUGUAGCAGUGAAAUGCGUAGAUAUCGUGAGGAAGACCAGUGGCGAAGGCGGAUCUCUGGAGAGUUCCUGACGCUGAGGCACGAAGGCCAGGGGAGCAAACGGG
rnacentral:rRNA from 1 species